GAGCGGCCCUGCUGAAGAAAGGCAGUGACAUUGCAAAAUGUCAGAACACUACCGCUCAGUGUAUUGUUUCUACAGCUACCAUUGUAACAUAGUGAACAAUGCAAAGCUAAAAAACAGCAGGCAGGGAAGCAUGUGCAGUAGAUGUGUCUGAGUUUUGUAUAUGAGCAGGUUGCACACUCAAGAAGCUUGAUGGGUAGCCUUGGACAAAUUCUCGUUAUUGACUCGCUCUGCCUUCCGGGGUGGCUGUAAGGAUAAAACGUGAUGGAGGCACUGUAAUCCCCACUUAAUACUUGGGAUAGGGCAAGAGGGAAAUCUUAAAAAGAGUUGACUUAAAGGAACUAAUUCAUGACUUCAUCCCAUUGAUUACAGUCUAACCCUUAGACAUCCAUAUUCCAUUGAAAACAAACCUGUUAAGUUGUGGGAGAACAUGUCAGACGACACAGCGAUUCUUUAAACAGCUCUUCUUUAUUCAGAUGCCAGAACAGAACUAGGCUGAGGAGCUCAGUCAGCCUGCUUAUAUAGAGCUCCAGAACAAUGCAACUGUUGCCAUUUUCUAAAACUAUCCAAUCACUGAACGUCACUUUUCGAUCCUUCAUUUGCAUACAAAACUAUCCAAUCACUGAAUGUCACUUUUCGAUCCUUCAUUUGCAUAACUAUCUACAGUAUCCCCCUGCUGGCCCAGGGUGAGAACUUCAGUACAUAACACCCCUCCCCACCGAGAUAAGGCGUUAGUUACAAUCGUAAUGGUUUCCUUAUAUACAGCACUACAUGUAAUGGUUCAAUUAGGCACAAAAGCAUAUCGGUUACAUUUCACAUACUUAGACCAACAGUGAUACAUGUCCAACAACAUAGUCCUUUAAAUAAGUUGGGCGCUUGGAAACUCUGUCAGACCGCCGGGGACUGGUAGCCAAGUCCGGGGGGCCACACAAUUCUUGCUGAGGCUGUGGUGCGACCCUAGGUGGCGUUGAAACCAAAUCCCCUGGAUCCACUGCUGUGGGUGGAGCCUCCGCAAGUGGAGUGGUCUGAGCCUGUGGUAAGUCUGGCAGACCCUCUGGAGUGGCUUGGUUCGGCUCCACGCUGGCAGUUUGCGAGGGAGGUGUAGGUGGAGCCUCGCCAUCUGUAAGUGUCUCUUCCGGAGCCACGAGCGCAGUUGGGGGCACCACGGUAGUGUCCAAGUCCCCAACCCUGCGCCUAAGCUGGUCUAUGUGCCGGCGCCACAAGCGUCCGUCUUCGAGUGCCACCUGGUACGAGCGAGGUCCAGUGACUCCCACUACUGUGGCUGGCACCCAAGGAAUGUCCCCCACAUAGUUCCGGGCAAAGACCUGGUUUCCUGAAACAAAUGACCGUGGCGCGUUGGCACAGCCUGGGGGUUCGGCCACGGCAAAGUCCGGGUGCAGCCGGUCGAGCGGUGAUCUGAGGCGGCGGCCCAUAAGCAGUUCAGCAGGACUCCGCCCUGUGGCCGCAUGAGGGGUGAUGUGUUGCACGAACAAGUAUUCGGUGACCCGCUCGUGCCAGUCUCCCUGGUCCAGGCGCGCCAGUGCCUCUUUUGCCGAGCGCACCAUUCUCUCCGCUUGCCCGUUGCUGGAUGGAUGAAAUGGUGCCGUUAGGGCAUGGCGGAUGCCCAGUCCCAAAAGAUACCGCUCAAAAGUGCCUGACGUGAACUGCGGUCCGUUGUCGGAGACAAGGACAUCAGGACACCCAUGCGUCGCAAACAGGCCUCGCAGCACCCGGAUGACGGCCUCGGUAGUGGUGGAGGGCAUCAGGGCCACCUCCAGCCAUUUGGAAUAGGCGUCCACCACUACCAUAAAGGUCUGGCCGUGAAAGGGGCCAGCCAGAUCGAUGUGCACCCUCCACCAGGGUGUCUUUGGCGUCUCCCAGGUGUGUCCCUUAGCUGCCGGUGGUGCAGGCCUCGAUUCUUGGCACGCUUGACAGGCGGACACCCAGGCAGUGAUGGCAUCGUCCAUGUUAGGCCACCAGACGUAACACCGAGCCAACGCCUUCAUUUUGACGAUUCCUGGGUGGCCAACGUGCAGAGCCUCCAGGACGCGUUGAUGGAGUCUUUGGGGAAUCACGACGUAGUCUCCCCACAGCAGACAGCCGCGAUGAGCUGAGAGUUCAUGUUGUCUGGUUGCAAACGGUUGGAACUCCGAUGCAAACGGCCCUUGUGGCCACCCCCUCCACACCCAGUUGAGCAUACGGCUGAUGGUGCGAUCCUGGGCAGAUGGGGAGGCCACAGUGGCAGCCAAUACAGGCGCUGCUGGAAGAUCCUCAAUCAGGAGGAGCGAUGAAGCUGGGGGCCGGGUCUUCCACAAACGCUGGAAGAGGGCAACGGCUGAGGGCGUCGGCAUGGCCCAUCCAUUUCCCCGGGCGAUGGAUGAGCCGGUAGUGGUAGGCAGCCAGGAAAACAGUCCAUCGCAGCAUGCACGGCGAGAGGACCGGUGGAGUUGGACGAUCACCGGCGAGGAGGCCCAGGAGCGGCUUGUGGUCAGUGAUGAGGUCAAAAGUCCUGCCAUAGAGGUAUUCAUGGAACCUCUUCACUCCAGCCACAAGUGCCAGUGCCUCCUUGUCGAGCUGGCUGUAAUUCCGUUCAGUCAGAGAUAGUGUCCUGGAAAAGUAAGCGAGCAGUGCUUCUCUUCCGUCUGGAAAACGGUGACUAAAGACAGUGCCGAUGCCAAAAGGUGAGGCGUCGCAGGCAAGGACCAGCGGCCUGGCUUCACUGUACUGUACCAGCACACUUUCCGAUGAAAGGAGAGCCUUGAUCGCGUUGAAGGCCGCCGUCUCCCGAUGACCACAGGACCAAGGCGUCUUUGUGCUGAGGAGUCGGUGAAGAGGCUCAGCCACCGUGGAUUUGUGGGGCAGGAACAUGUUAUAAAAGUUCAGCAGCCCCAGGAACGCCUGCAAUUCUGUCUUGUUCUUUGGGAUGGGUGCCUGCUGGAUAGCGCGGAUCUUGGAUGUGGUCGGGUGAAGGCCGGAGGCGUCGAUAAGAUAGCCCAGGAAUUCUACCUGUGGAACGGCGAUCUGGCACUUCUCCCUCUUUACCUUGAGCCCGGCCUCUUGGAAUCUGGUCAGCACAGCACGAAGGCGCUCGAACAGCUGCUGGUGUGAGUCUGCGGACACCAAGACGUCAUCAAAAUAUGGUACCACGCCCGGAAGCCCUUGCAGGAGACGCUCCAUAAGGCUUUGGAAGAUGCCAGGAGCCACACUCACCCCGAACUGCAAUCGGCGGCAACGGAAUGCCCCUCGGUGGGUGACGAUCGUCUGGGCUUCAGCAGUGGCAUCAUCGACGGGCAGUUGUUGAUAGGCUUGGGCAAGGUCCAGCUUAGCGAAGACCUUACCCUCACCCAGGGAAUGCAGCAGGUGUUGGACAACAGGAACCGGAUAAGCGUGCUGCUGAAGUGCCUUGUUGAUCGUGCACUUGUAGUCAGCGCAGAUUCUCACCGACCCGUCUGGCUUGACAGGCGUGACGAUGGGGGUUUCCCACUUGGCGUGGUCAACCGGCUCCAAAACUCCUUGGGCGAUCAGCUUGUCCAGUUGUUCGUCCACCUUAGCCUUGAGAGCAAAGGGAACCUGGUGUGGCUUUAGCUUGAUGGGGGCGACUUGUGGAUCAAGGCUAAAGGAGAUGGGCGUACCUGUAUAUUGCCCCAAAGUGCCGUCAAAAACCUCGGCAAAGUCUUUGACCAGACUCUCAGUCUCUGCGUUAGAGAUGCAGUUGAUGCCGGUGACUUCCAGGCCGAGGGCAUCAAACCAGUCUAGCCCUAGGAGGCUUGGCCGCUGACCUUCGACCACCACCAGUCUGAGCAGGCCCGAAAAAUCCUUGAAGGCGAUCCAGAACCGGCCAACGCCUACCACGGGAAUGUCGUUUCCCUGGUAGUCUCUCAGGUGUACGCGGUGAGAAUCGAGUUGCCUUUUGGACACUCUGGGUACCAGUCUUUUGAUGGUGCUCCAAGACACGAUGGACAGGGCAGACCCGGUGUCGAUCUCCAUGUCACAUGGAGCUCCUUCAAUGAGCACCGUGACGUUCAGCUUGCGUCGCGUAGGCGAGUCGGUUUGGCCAAUCGUGGUUCCAGACAGGCAGCAGCAGUUGGUGAGAGCGAAACAGCUUUCCUUGGCAGACUGGAGUGAAGACUUGGACUUGCAAGUCGGUGAAGGGGGGGUGUCAGACGGAGCCGAUCGGCAGACCUUAGCGAUGUGGCCCCUUCUGGAACACGUCCGACAGAUGGCGUCUCUGAAUCGACACUUGGCACGGGAAUGGUUGCCUCCACUGCCGGCGCAUUCCGGUUGGCCCUUGGACUUCUGUUGGAACUUCCUGCGCUCCCGCUUUGUCUGGUGCACAUCAUUGUCUUCACUGGAGGAUGCCUCAUCACUGCUGGCCUCUUCGUGAUGCACUGGAACUGGCUCCCUAGCAAGACGCGGGCUGCUGGCCUUGCGGAUCUCCUGGGUGGAGCGUUCAGCAGCUUCCGAGGCCACAGCCUCCUCAAUGGCUUUCUGCAGCGUGAGGUCUGGCUUGGCAAGGAGACGCCGUUGCAGAUGGAUGUCCCGGACCCCGCAGGCGAUUUGAUCCAUCAGGGCAUCGUCUAAGUCUCGGAACUCGCAGUGCAUUGCAGCCUGUCGCAGGGCGGUGGUGUAGUUGUUGAUUGACUCCCCCUCUGCCUGGUUCCGGUGGUAAAACGCAUGGCGGGCAGCAAUCUUGGACGGCUUUGGUGCGUAGUGGUUGCGGAGCUUCUCUUGGAUCGUGUCCCACGGUGUUGCCUGGACUGCUUCAGGCGCAACCAAUGCUCGGGCCGUCUCAAACACCUCAGGCCCACAGAGGCUGAGGAAUAGGCCCCGCUUCCGCUCCUUUGAUACUUCUGUCAGCUCGUUGGCUUGGAGGUAGCAGUCAAACCGAGCGAGGUAGGAGUCCCAUGAUUCAGAGGCUGGCGCAAACGGCGGUAGAGGCACAAGUGAAGCCAUGAUUCUGAUGCCGGCGAGAAGGGCAAUGGAUGGAACACCGUGCUCUAGCCAGAACAGUCAGCUCUGAAUUGGUUCUGUUCAGUGAUUUUGCUCAGUGAUUCAGCUCAGUGAUUCAGCUCUGCUCAGAGGGUGGCUGCAUCUGGCUGUGCUCUGAUGUCCAUCGAUCCCAUCCUCGUCGCCAGUGUUAAGUUGUGGGCGAACAUGUCAGACGACACAGCAAUUCUUUAAACAGCUCUUUCUUUAUUCAGAUGCCAGAACAGAACUAGGCUGAGGAGCUCAGUCAGCCUGCUUAUAUAGAGCUCCAGAACAAUGCAACUGUUGCCAUUUUCUAAAACUAUCCAAUCACUGAAUGUCACUUUUCGAUCCUUCAUUUGCAUAACUAUCUACAGUAUCCCCCUGCUGGCCCAGGGUGAGAACUUCAGUACAUAACAAAACCAAUCCUAAACAUUAGCAGGCAAAACUUAUCCUACCCCCAUCAUGAAUCUUAUAAAACUGCUUGAAACUGCAGCCAAACUUCUGCUCCACAAUUCCAAGUAGAUGUGAUUAUUUUGGAGCCAGGGAAAAGCUGGUAGGAGUUUGUGAGCUCAAAUCUCUGAAUUAAUAUGCUGUUCUGGUUGCUGGUCAUGAAGCUGACAAAUCCCUCAGCUGCUUCUCUCUCUGGAAUGGAGCGAUGGAACCUUGUGAGUGCAAGAGAAAAACUUUUCCAGAAUCAGUUCGCUGAUUUGCAGUCAUUUGCUGCUCUGAUUUUCCCCAGGGCUCUCUUCAAAGUCCAUAUUCAGGUUGAUUAAAUUUCUCAUAGAGAGAAUAUGACUUUGUGAAAUUAUACAACAGGGAGUUGGCAUGAGGGAGGUGUGUAGCUCAUUACCGACAGACCAUUUCCAUGAUGUUUCUUAAAUAUUAAGCAAUGAAUAAGGAAAUGCCUGAUGCGUAAGAUCUGUAUUAGGACUGAACUAGGGUGAUUGGAUCCAGCAGUCUGUUCCUGCUGGAAGCUGUGCUUACGAGCUCUGAGAAGUCUGAGGCAAUGUUAUUUCAUCCUUAAAUAAUUCUGGUUCAGCUUUUGCAAGUAUAUGUUUAAGCCCUGUUGAGUUUUGCCUGUAAGGCAUGUUAUACCAGAGCCAGUCGAAAGCCAUUUUAUACUGGAAACAACAACAGACUUGACUGGCACCUUCAGAUAUCUGCUGGCACAUUUCUCACAUAUCAUGUCUGUUUGUUGUCUUAUAGCUGUCAUAUAUGCCUAAGUGAAUGGACCUUUUCUGAUCACGGCAAGACUUGUGCUUGAAACUAAGUGUAUAUGGAAAAUAUGUGAGUUGUGCUAGCCAAUCUCACAUAAAUAAAUCCACAGAAUUCCAACUGAAUUCUCAUUUGGAAAAAUGUGUACUUCAGUCCUGUGUAGAUCAAUCAUAAACAUGUUUACUCAGAGUAAGUCUCAUUCAGUUCAGUGGGAUUUACUCCUCAGCUUUUAUGUUUAGCAUCGCAGCCUAAGUUGCUGAGAGGGUACUUUAGGACAGAAGUCCAACGGUGAUUUAAAUGUUUUAAUAUUGAACCUCUACUCUUAGUCUACCUCAAUGGAGAUCUGAGCCCAGUGCAGUGAUGGAAAAAUCUACCCAUCACAGUGCUGAGAUGAAAGGAGAGGUUUAAACCUUUUUUCUGUACUGAGUGCUGUGAUAGAGCAAUUUUCCUUUUCUUGACAGCACUGCCCUGGGAGGAGAGGAAUUCCUCCUCUCAGUCCAGGGCUGAAAGAUUGGGGGAGUACCUUCUCUCAGCCCAGGUUAAAACAUCGGGGCAGUACCAAUGCAAACAAAACUGAUUUUGAAUAUAAAUAUAUCAAGUUUAUUUAUUUAUUCUAAUUGUAUGAUUAAAAUUCAAUACAGUAUUUUGUCAUAUACUUUCAUUUUAAGCUAUUAAUUUUCAUAACCAUCAGUGAUUAGUAAUGAAAAACCAAUAGCAUUAUUAAUAGCUUUAUUAAUAAAAUUGGGUACAAUAAUGUCAUAGUUGCACCUGAUGUCUAGGUAAACAGUUUUAUUGGGCAAACGCUAUACUGUAUAUCUGACAGAAUUGAUAAUAUACUAUAUUGUUAUGGGAGCCAGAAACUAGCAGGUCAUCAUAAGACACUUGGAUCUAGCCCCUGACUCCAGGAGAGGCUAUUCUGAAUAUCACUACAAAGAUCAUCAGUUGUGAUCUUCUGGGUGAUCUUACAUACCUCCAUUCUUAUGCUCUUCUUUUUUUAAAAAAAAUAAUAUUUAUUGAGAAUUUUAAGAUUACAAAGAAACAAAGAAAAAAAAGAAGGAAAAAACAAGUAGCAUUUAAACAAUACGAAUCAAUAAAAAAA